GAUAAACGCUGGCGGCGUGCAUGAGACAUGCAAGUCGAACGAACGAGCUUGCUCGUUAGUGGCGGACGGCUGAGUAACGCGUAGGUUACCUGCCCCGAAGUGGGGGAUAACUGCCCGAAAGGGUGGCUAAUACCGCAUGUGGCCACGCUUUCAUUGGCGUCAUCCAGGCCGCGAGGCGCUUCGGGCGGGGCCUGCGUCCGAUUAGCUCGUUGGUGGGGUAAUGGCUCACCAAGGCGACGAUCGGUAGGUGGUCUGAGAGGACGAUCACCCAGACUGGGACUGAGACACGGCCCAGACUCCUACGGGAGGCAGCAGUCGGGAAUUUUGCUCAAUGGGCGCAAGCCUGAAGCAGCAACGCCGCGUGCGGGAUGAAGGCCUUCGGGUUGUAAACCGCUUUUUCCAGGGACGAUAAUGACGGUACCUGAUGAAUAAGUCACGGCUAACUACGUGCCAGCAGCCGCGGUAAUAC
rnacentral:rRNA from 1 species